rnacentral:rRNA from 1 species
AGCGGUAGCGGAGCGUUCUCUAAGCUGAUGAAGCGGUUUCGUAAGGAACCGUGGAGGUAUGAGAAGUGCGAAUGCUGACAUGAGUAGCGAUAAAGGAGGUGAGAGACCUCCUCGCCGUAAGACCAAGGGUUCCUGCGCAAUGCUAAUCAGCGCAGGGUUAGCCGGCCCCUAAGGCGAGGCCGAAAGGCGUAGUCGAUGGGAACCACGUUAAUAUUCGUGGGCCAGCGGAUGGUGACGAAUGACGAAAGUCGUUUGGGCUUAUUGGAUUGCCCGGGCGGCCUGGUCGUUCCAGGAAAUAGCCUCCGCAACAGACCGUACCCGAAACCGACACAGGUGGUCUGGUAGAGCAUACCAAGGCGCUUGAGAGAACUGCGUUGAAGGAACUCGGCAAAUUACCCUCGUAACUUCGGGAGAAGAGGGCCUCUUUUUAGGGUAACCUAGGAGGAGGGGCACAAAUCAGGGGGUGGCGACUGUUUAGCAAAAACACAGGGCUCUGCGAAGCCGUAAGGCGACGUAUAGGGUCUGACUCCUGCCCAGUGCCGGAAGGUUAAGAGGAGAGGUGCAAGCCUUGAAUCGAAGCCCCGGUGAACGGCGGCCGUAACUAUAACGGUCCUAAGGUAGCGAAAUUCCUUGUCGGGUAAGUUCCGACCUGCACGAAUGGCGUAACGACUUCCCCACUGUCUCCAGCGCAGACUCAGCGAAAUUGAAUUCCCCGUGAAGAUGCGGGGUUCCCGCAGCUAGACGGAAAGACCCUGUGAACCUUUACUGCAGCUUCGCAGUGGCGCUAUCGACGGCAUGUGUAGAAUAGGUGGGAGGCUUUGAACCUUGGGCGCCAGCUUGAGGGGAGCCACCGUUGAAAUACCACCCUUGCUUUCGGUGGCGUCUAACCGCGGCCCGUGAUCCGGGUCCGGGACCCUGCGUGGCGGGCAGUUUGACUGGGGCGGUCGCCUCCUAAAGAGUAACGGAGGCGCGCGAUGGUAGGCUCAGGACGGUCGGAAAUCGUCCGGCGAGUGCAAUGGCAUAAGCCUGCCUGACUGCGAGACUGACAAGUCGAGCAGAGACGAAAGUCGGUCAUAGUGAUCCGGUGAUUCCUCGUGGAAGGGUCAUCGCUCAACGGAUAAAAGGUACUCCGGGGAUAACAGGCUGAUCUUGCCCAAGAGUCCAUAUCGACGGCAAGGUUUGGCACCUCGAUGUCGGCUCAUCACAUCCUGGGGCUGGAGCAGGUCCCAAGGGUAUGGCUGUUCGCCAUUUAAAGUGGUACGUGAGCUGGGUUCAGAACGUCGUGAGACAGUUUGGUCCCUAUCUACUGUGGGUGUUGGAAGCUUGAAUGGAUCUGUCCCUAGUACGAGAGGACCGGGAUGGACGCACCUCUGGUCGACCAGUCGUUCCGCCAGGAGCGCAGCUGGGUAGCUAUGUGCGGACGGGAUAAACGCUGAAAGCAUCUAAGCGUGAAACCCACCAUGAAACGAGGCUUCCCUCGAGAGCCGUGAUAGACCAUCACGUUGAUAGGCUGGAUGUGGAAGCGCCGCGAGGCGCGGAGCUGACCAGUACUAAUCGCUCGAUUGGCUUGAUC